rnacentral:lncRNA from 1 species
AUUGCUACUAUAAAGGAAUAACAACAUUAUCUAUAUAGAUCAAACUUUCAUGUGAGUGCUACUAUUGGGCAGCCAAGAAAUUUGGAAACCACUGCUGAGGAAUCACACUCUCAAUCACAGGCAUCCCAUGCUAGUGCCAAGGGCAAUGCUGAUUCCCUGCCUCGCGCUACAGCUCGUAGUACCUGGCCGUGCCCAAGACAAUCCAGUCGCCAUAGCAGCCAUAUCCGCC